rnacentral:lncRNA from 1 species
GGCAGCUCCAAGACAGCUGUGAGGAGGACCUGAGCGAGAAGGAGAAGGCCAUCGUUCGAGAGAUGUGCAACGUGGUCUGGAGGAAACUGGGGGACGCUGCCAGCACCAAGCCCUCCAUCCGGCAGCACCUGUCUGGUAAUCAGUUCAAGGGGCCGUUGUAGGGCCAUCUCUCCAUGGGUGCAGACUGGCCCUGCCUGGAGUCUGAGGCCUUAGACCUGGCAGAAACUCUGGCCUAGCCACCGUCUUUCUCCGUGGUGAAUUGUACAUAGGACACGGCCCACCCUGGCUGCCCUGGUGUGACACUGACUGCCCAGG